rnacentral:rRNA from 1 species
UACCAGCUGGCUGCAACUGUUUAUUAAAAACACAGCACUGUGCAAACACGAAAGUGGACGUAUACGGUGUGACGCCUGCCCGGUGCCGGAAGGUUAAUUGAUGGGGUCAGCGCAAGCGAAGCUCCUGAUCGAAGCCCCGGUAAACGGCGGCCGUAACUAUAACGGUCCUAAGGUAGCGAAAUUCCUUGUCGGGUAAGUUCCGACCUGCACGAAUGGCGUAAUGAUGGCCAGGCUGUCUCCACCCGAGACUCAGUGAAAUUGAACUCGCUGUGAAGAUGCAGUGUACCCGCGGCAAGACGGAAAGACCCCGUGAACCUUUACUAUAGCUUGACACUGAACAUUGAGCCUUGAUGUGUAGGAUAGGUGGGAGGCUUUGAAGCGUGGACGCCAGUCUGCGUGGAGCCGACCUUGAAAUACCACCCUUUAAUGUUUGAUGUUCUAACGUGGACCCGUAAUCCGGGUUGCGGACAGUGUCUGGUGGGUAGUUUGACUGGGGCGGUCUCCUCCUAAAGAGUAACGGAGGAGCACGAAGGUUGGCUAAUCCUGGUCGGACAUCAGGAGGUUAGUGCAAUGGCAUAAGCCAGCUUGACUGCGAGCGUGACGGCGCGAGCAGGUGCGAAAGCAGGUCAUAGUGAUCCGGUGGUUCUGAAUGGAAGGGCCAUCGCUCAACGGAUAAAAGGUACUCCGGGGAUAACAGGCUGAUACCGCCCAAGAGUUCAUAUCGACGGCGGUGUUUGGCACCUCGAUGUCGGCUCAUCACAUCCUGGGGCUGAAGUAGGUCCCAAGGGUAUGGCUGUUCGCCAUUUAAAGUGGUACGCGAGCUGGGUUUAGAACGUCGUGAGACAGUUCGGUCCCUAUCUGCCGUGGGCGCUGGAAGAUUGAGGGGGGCUGCUCCUAGUACGAGAGGACCGGAGUGGACGCAUCACUGGUGUUCGGGUUGUCAUGCCAAUGGCACUGCCCGGUAGCUAAAUGCGGAAAAGAUAAGUGCUGAAAGCAUCUAAGCACGAAACUUGCCCCGAGAUGAGUCUUCCCUGAGACUUUGAGUCUCCUGAAGGAACGUUAAAGACGAUGACGUUGAUAGGCCGGGUGUGUAAGCGCAGCGAUGCGUUGAGCUAACCGGUACUAAUGAACCGUGAGGCUUAACCUUACA